rnacentral:lncRNA from 1 species
CUAAAAAAAUUUUUAAUAGGCUUAGAGAAAGAUGCUUUCCAAAUUACCAGUUUUUUAAAACUAAUACACCUCUUCAUCAUUUUGUGAUUCUGCUGGACAACUAGUGUUUUACAUGGAUCUCUUAAUCUUUAGAAAUUCUGGCUUAGAGUCCUAGACUCAGAGUGCAAAAAUCUGUGGUUUUAGAGACAAAGAACAGAAUGAGCAAACAUUUCAUCCAAGAUUUCUGGAUGAUUUCUAUGAUGAUUCCGUUGGGUACCAGCUGCCUCUGAACACAGAUCUGCCUGAU